GCCUGUGUGGCUCAACGGUUAGAGUGUCCUGUUGUGGUCAGUGGUGUGUAGUAUUUCAUGAGGACGGCGCGGGUUCGACUCCCACUGCGGGCA